AGAGUUUGAUCCUGGCUCAGAUUGAACGCUGGCGGCAUGCCUAACACAUGCAAGUCGCACGCGAAAGGGGGCAACCCCGAGUAGAGUGGCGGACGGGUGCGUAACGCGUAGGAAUAUACCUGGUAGUGGGGGACAACCCGGCGAAAGCCGGGCUAAUACCGCAUACGAUCCACGGAUGAAAGCAGGGGACCGCAAGGCCUUGCGCUAUCAGAUUAGCCUGCGUCGGAUUAGCUAGUUGGUGAGGUAAAGGCUCACCAAGGCAACGAUCCGUAGCUGGUUUGAGAGAACGACCAGCCACACUGGGACUGAGACACGGCCCAGACUCCUACGGGAGGCAGCAGUGGGGAAUAUUGGACAAUGGGGGCAACCCUGAUCCAGCAAUGCCGCGUGUGUGAAGAAGGCCUUCGGGUUGUAAAGCACUUUCGAUGGGGAAAAACAAGCCAGACCUAACACGUCUGGCCCUGAUGGUACCCAGAGAAGAAGCACCGGCUAACUCUGUGCCAGCAGCCGCGGUAAUACAGAGGGUGCAAGCGUUAAUCGGAAUUACUGGGCGUAAAGGGUGCGUAGGUGGCUUGUUAAGUCAGGCGUGAAAUCCCUGGGCUCAACCUGGGAACUGCGUUUGAUACUGGCAGACUCGAGUCUGGUAGAGGGUAGUGGAAUUCCGCAUGUAGCGGUGAAAUGCGUAGAUAUGCGGAGGAACAUCAGUGGCGAAGGCGGCUACCUGGACCAAGACUGACACUGAGGCACGAAAGCGUGGGGAUCAAACAGGAUUAGAUACCCUGGUAGUCCACGCCCUAAACGAUGGGUACUAGACGUUGGGAAGUUUAUCCUCUUGGUGUCGCAGCUAACGCAAUAAGUACCCCGCCUGGGGAGUACGGUCGCAAGAUUAAAACUCAAAGGAAUUGACGG
rnacentral:rRNA from 1 species